AGCGAAUUUUCAGAAAUAAGUUUCAGUCUUUCAGAAGUUACAUCGAAAGCAUACAUCGAAGAUAAUAAAAUAAUCAACAAAAUUUAUGUACCGGCGGUAGGUACAGUUCAAUUAGAGUUUUGGAUUCUUGCUACAGAUUAUGAUACUUAUUCAAUAGUUUAUUCUUGCAAAGGUAAUUGAAGGAGUUAUUUACACCCGAACCCGACAGAUUGAUUUAAACAUGACUGCAAUAGCUC